GGGCGAGACACGUAUAGACACAGGAUGUGCAGACAUGGAGCUUCGCAGUCUGCAGACAUGGAGCUUCGCAGUCUGCAGACAUGGAGCUUCGCAGUCUGCCCGUGUCCCAGGAGUCAUUGUGGCUUUAGGCUCUUGCUGAAAGGCCCAGCAGUGACUUCCAUCCAGCAGCCAUAGGAUUUGAAUCAGCAACCUUCUUCCCACUGGCAUCGAGCCCACUGGUCUGCAGUGAAAUCAGCAUGGCAACUCCCCAAACUGGUUGUAAUUAGACGUGUCAGGACACCUGGAGCCGGUGAUUGUGGGAUCGCCGGUAUUGAGAGACGGACUGCAGGAUCUCUCAGCUGAUAGCAGGCAGGGUCACAGGGACCGUUCCAGGGACAUUGUGCUGGAGGCUAAAAGCAGUGGCCUCCAGCACGGCCAAUCCUGCAAAGUGAUCCAGCGAUACGAUCAGCAGCAUCUGGAAGUGUUCAUGCAGUAUUGUCACAAAGCGCCCCCACAGGACAGCCAAAGGUCGGCUUUCCCCCCUAGAGCACCACGAGAGGAAGAGGCGAGUUUCUUAACGUGGCCGAGCUUGGAGAUUUCCAUGGGGCCGGUUUCCCCUCCAUAUAUGAAGCAAAGCGAGAAUCGCGAGAGGAAACAGUCCGAAAGAGGAUGUGACGCCUACAUACACGCGCGUGCUUGUCUGAGUCCACACGCUUGUGUCCUCUCUCACUCCGUGUGCUGCGUGGGCGUGCAAAGAAACUUCCCAUGCGCUCAUGUAGAGCUAUUUACCAAUAAUGACAGGUGAGAGAGACAUGGAGGAAGAGAGGGUGUGUGUUUCGAUUGUAGUUCAGCAUGUUCGGAUAAUGGUGAUCUAUCUGGCUUCUGUAUGAUAACUUUUUAAGCCUGUGUUUUAACUUUUUAUGUGUAUCCCAUCCACAUUUAUUUGUUUAGCAUGUUCUCACAGCAUUACAUUGUCUCAAAGUGCUUUACAGCGUCCCUGCCCAAAGCCCCCAGUGAGCAAGCCAGAGGUGACAGUUGCAAGGAAAAACUUUUCCUUGGGAGGAAUCAGACUCAAACUGGGAGCCCAUCCUCAGGGGGCUGGCAGAGGAAGUAUCUGUGAUAGACUUGGGUGAAUUUUAUCGUGGGGGGGAAUUUUAUUAUGGGAAACCCCUCUCACUCCUGCAAAUUACCAGCAAGAUUAUAAAAAUAUUGGUAUAGCCUUGCUUUUGAAAAUAUCAAAAUACUGCCAUGUAAAUUUCACAUUUGAUGCAAAAGAAAACAUGACUUAGCACAAGCCAUGUGGAACGGUAUUUCACUGUCAUUUUAAGGGCGCCUAAUCAGUAUAUCAUGGUCCCGCAUAGGCACAUGCACAACAGGCGUACAGUGCUCACACGUACAGGGCAUACCGUGCAUACAGUGCUUACACAUACAGGGCAUACAGUGCUUACACAUACAGGGCAUACAGUGCUUACACAUAUAGGGUAUACAGUGUUUACACAUACAGGGCAUACAGGGAAUACAGUGCUUACACAUACAGUGAAUACAGUGCUUACACAUACAGGGCAUACAGGGAAUACAGUGCUUACACAUACAGUGAAUACAGUGCUUGCACAUACAUGGCAUACAGGGAAUACAGUGCUUACACAUACAGUGAAUAUAGUGCUUACACAUACAGGGCAUACAGUGCUUACACAUACAGGGCAUACAGUGUUUACACAUACAGGGCAUCCAGAACAUGCAGUGUUUAUACAUACUGGGCAUACAGUGCUUACACAUACAGGGCAUACAGUGCUUACACAUACAGUGCACACAGUGCUUACACAUUCAGGGCAUACAGUGCACACAGUGCUUACACAUGCAAGGCAUACAGUGCACACAGUGCUUACACAUGCAGGGCAUACAGUGCAUACAGUGCUUACACAUUGUAAAACGCAGCAGUAACCGAUGUUUUUUCAUUAUUCACGCACACAUUCACACCUACGGGCAAUUUAGCAACUCCAAUUAGCCUCAGCAUGUUUUUGGACUGUGGGGGGAAACAUGAGCACCUGGAGGAAACCACACGACGACAUGGGGAAAACAUGCAAACUCAGCACACAUGUAACCCAGGCGGAGACUCGAUCUCGGGUCCCAGAAGUGUGAGGCAACAGUGCUAACCACUGCACCACCAUACCGCCCCUUGAUCUUGGUCAUAAGUCUAAAAUAUAUUAUCUGAAUCGAUACGCAAAUAUACUCCUUUCCCUUCACUAAGUGGAAAUUAAUCUUCCUGCACUGUCCUCUUGUAGCAGUACUACUUAAAAUAUACUACAAGGGUCACCAACAUGGUCUAAAAAUAGCACUCAGCAGUGAGCAUCGUCUAAAAUUAAAUUUUAUCCUGUUGCUAUUCUUCUUUAAUCACAUUUGCAUGUGAUCACAUUUGCAUAGAUUUGAAAAUGACAAUAUCUAAAAAAAAAACCAUUUAAAACAUGUUUAUUAUACAUGAAGUUUAGAUAAGUUUAGGAGCUCUUCGUAUGGCUCAGUACCCGUGAAGUGGCUCCCAGUUGGUGACCCCUGAUGUAUUACAUCUCUCAGCUGCCCCGAUGGUAUAAGGCAGAAAUAAAAAUAAUAAUGUCAUCAUAUCCUAUAUUGUUAUAAUAGAUUAUUAUGAUUAUUAGUAUGAUUAUUGAUUAUAGAUGAUAUGAUUAUUAGUAAUAAUAAAACUUUUAAUGCUAUAUAAUUUGAAUUUAGGGAUUAAGUUGACACACCACAGCACACGCUGCACAACAGUGAUGUGUGUUCUCUGCAUUUAACCCAUAUGUGACAAUGUGGCAUAGCAGGAUGCAGCUAAUUUAGUGCCCGGGAUUAUAUAAUGCAAUGAUAUUUAGUAUUACACAUACAUAAAUAUAUAGAAUUAUACUAAUUACUAACUUAAAAUAGGGUCCUUGGUCUCCCAAUUCAGUCUUAACCAAUUAAAGCUUGCAAACACUAAUAAACGAUUGCUAUAAAAAUAGUAAUUAGUCAAUAGGGGUCCUCUAGCCUGGGCAAGCCAGUUCCUGCUCUCUCCCUGCUAAUCUCUAUACAGUACCUAAUCUCUGUGUGUGUGUGUCUGUGUGUGUGUGUGUGUCUGUCUGUCUGUGUGUGUGUGUGUGUGUGUAAUUACUACAUUGCGGAAACCAGAUUUCCCCUAAAUGUAACAAAAACCUGUAAAUAAAAAACUUUCUGCUUUGUGGGGACAUUUUUCCAGUCUUACAUUUUAUAAAAAUCUGUAAUUGCAAUCAAAAAACUAAACAUUUUGUUUGGUUACUUGUUAAGGUUAGGGCUGGGUAGGGGUUAAGGUUGUCAUAGUUGGUAUUAGGGUUUUUCCCAUAGAAAUGAAUGUGUGUGUGUGUGCAAGUGUGUGUGUGUGAAGGGCACUCAGCAGCACUUCUCACACUGGGGAGUGUAGGGGUUUGUGUUUGGAAUUCUGACUAAUAGUUCUGGAUGACCAUCAGCUGGAGACCUUCUGAUGUAAUUCAGAGAGACGUCUGUGUAAUGUGGAUGGGAGAAAGACUUCAUCCCAGCCCCUAGGAUAUAGUUGCCAGGAUAGACUGAGCAAACAUCAACAUUUUGGGUUCAAGGGAGGGACACACUCAUAUGAAAGUUUGGUGAGCUGCACAGCAAAAGCACCUGCUCUUUCUUUCUUUCUUUCUUUCUGUGAUGCCCGGCUCGUGCGCUCCUCGUGUGUGCCACGCCCCCUAAUUACCCACGUGUGUUUCCCUGAUCGUCGCCAGAUGUGUCUAGUUAUUUUGAUCAGUCCUGUCUAUUUGAGUCCUUGUCUUGCCAGAGUUGAUUGUCCGUCAUUGAUGUUACCCGAUGUAAGUCAAUGUUCAAGCCUUUUGUUCCUGUUCCGUCCGUUUAUGUCCUGCCCGUACCUAAAUAAACCCCAGUUUCCCCGUAUUCUACCUGCCUGCCUGCUUACUGCUCGCAUCACCGGCACGUGCGAUCGCCAGCCUAAUUGCCGAUCGUGACAGAAUGACGGACCUACAUAGAAAGAAAAAGAGGCAGAGAAGAGGGAGACCAGAGGCAUUGACCAUCAGCCUAGGAGCGUGCUCUCUCGCUAGGCUGUGGCUCCCGACAGGGAG